UCUUUAUAAUAAAUUUAUUUUAGUAAAUUAUUUUAUUUAAAUUAAUAGUUUUAAUAUUAAAUUAUUUUAUUGGGGUGAUAUAAAAAUUUAACUAACUUUUUUAAUUUAUUUACUAUAAUUAAAGAUUUCAAAUUUAUGAUCUAUUAUUAAUAAUUCAAAGAAUAAGA
rnacentral:rRNA from 1 species